CUACGGGCGGCAGCAGUUAAGAAUUUUUUGCAAUGCACGCAAGUGUGACAAAGCGAAUCAGAGUGUUUCUCAAAUUUGAGAAACUUUUGCCAGCUGUAAAAAGGCUGGCGAAUAAGGACUGGGCAAGACCGGUGCCAGCCGCCGCGGUAAUCCCGGCGGUCCAAGUCGCAUCCAUGUUUAUUGGGUCUAAAACAUCCGUAGCUUGUUAUGAAAGUCUCUUGUGAAAUCUUGUAUCUCAAGUACAAGGCGGGCAAGAGAUACUUCAUGGCUAGAGACCGGGGGACGUAAGGAGUACGUCCAAGGUAGUGGUAAAAUACGUUAAUCUUGGAUGGACUAACAACAGCGAAGGCACCUUACGAUAACGGUUCUGACAGUGAGGGAUGAAGGCUAGGGUCGCAAAACGGAUUAGAUACCCGAGUAGUC
rnacentral:rRNA from 1 species